GGACUUGAAGGAAAAGGCCCUCCCAGUCCUCAUGUGACGGCACUUCCUCAGAGACAUUCUGAAACUCACAGGCGGAUGCAGUUUGCCGUAUUUAGGAACUGCGCACUGGUCCUCAGUGAGAGGUGACUUCAAGGACUCGGCUGUCCUCAUCUGCUUUCAGGUUCUGAUGUCCAGGUGACACCAGCCCUGCCAAUGAGCUGAGCGGCCCCCGUCUUCCUCUGCAUGCGCACUCAGCACUGCUUGUGUGAGGCAAUCGCUCUUGCCAUCGGUCCUGCGGUCAGGCUGGCCGGAUGUGCUGGUGAGAAGUGCACCCUCUGUGGAGGGCAGCACUGGAGGCCCCCACCCAGCUCUGCCGCGUGGUCCCAGGGCUGCCAUGCUCUAUGUGGAGCUGCUCCGAUAGCCGGGUGUGCAGGAAGCAACCGGACUGCAGGAGGCUCGCCUGAGCCACCUUCAGCUUCCUGACAGCCAGGAGGCUGAGGCGGGCAGCAGCAUUACUUGGACUGAGCUGACAGAUGCACCUACCUAUGAAGUGGCGGGAGCACAGAGUCUGUGAGGGAUGGAUCUCCGAUCUCCACAUCACAUAGCCUGCACUGCCUUAUCUAAUCAUCUCCUCCGUCUUCUCAGGCCGACUCUGAUAAUCUGUACUUUCCUCAGAGUUGUUCAGAGGAUCCAGAUGUUGUCUACAUGUGACAUACACUGGCCAGGACACAGCGCUGAGCCUUGUCACCGCUGGUGCAGACAGCCCUACACCCAUGCGCCCCAGGGUGGACAUGUGGCAGGCAGGCACCACACGUGUGUGCUCCCGUUUGUGCCCUGGCACAUGGAAAGUGAGCGACACAUGCACAUUCACUGAGCAGGUGAAAAGAUCAGUGAAGACGGAGAGCACAAGCAGGCCCAGCAGGCAGGGGGUACGGUGGUUCUCCUGCUCCUGUGUUCCCCGGUGGUGCUGGGGAUGGGUGCGAGACAAGCCCUGCCCUCAGCCUCAGCCCAGGAACUCGGAGUUUCCUUCAGAGGACGCCGACACUGUGUGAGCUGCUUGCACCUCGUGAGUGUGAGCCUGAAGGGUCAUUUUCAAGCUUCGAGACAACAGAUUCAGUCCGUCUUGCAGACCUGGCCACCCUUGGCAUUUUGAGACAUUUGUAUGAAAGCUAUUACCCCCAUGGGAUCAGACAAACUAUGGCCACAGAUCUCUUGGCAAGUGUAGGGACGCCACCCGGAGAUCAGCAGCUAGCCCUGCAACCCAGCUCUUGUGAGACACGCUGCUCCCUGACCUAGCCAGCCAGUAUGCAGUGUACCCUUCCAGCCCCAGGAGCGAGCUCCCAGCAGGGCGACGGAGCUGAUCGGGAUCGCAUGUGUGGAGGAAGCAACAGGCCUCCUCUGUGCACUCCCACAUCCCUGCCUACAUCUCCAACCCUGGUCCCCAGGCACAAGCACACAACACAGAGGACACAUCCCUCCCAAACAGCCUGCCUGGGUACUCAGCAGGUGGACCAUGCCAUGCACACAGCAUCCCUGGCGGGACACGGCGAGGGUGGCAGACCAAGCAAGGCCAGGGCAGGAAGUUUGCAGCGUUGAUCUGCCUGAGGAGACCCCUGCAAGACAUCCUGGCAGGUCUCUAGAGCUCCACCACACAGUGCUGGACAAGCCAAGACCCUGCAAGAUAAGCAACCCCGAUUUCCUGCUCAGCAGUGGGAUGACUGCAGGAGACCCAACCAUCUCCUGGGGAAACAGGGGAAGGCCUCUGCUGUGACGGGAUGUCUGCAGGAGGCAGGUUCUGAUAACUUAAUGUCUCAGUACUCCGCCCUCAGCUUCAUCCUGGCCUCUGGCUUUUCACACCCAGACAGGCCGAUAGCUCGCCCUCCACUCAUAUACUGGCUGUCUCCACAGCAUGGGAAGCCCAGGCACAGGGCUGGGGGUACAACUCACACCUCCUGGGUUCCGGGUAAGUAGGAAACUGCUAGAGCCCUUUGUGUGAAGGGCUGCUGUGACCUGAGCUUUGCUCUGAGGUUUGUACAUCACACCCCACAACCAGCAGAGAGGAACAACUGCCCAGAAUUCUCUCUCUGCAGCUGCCCUCCUGCCACACAGCACCAGAAAGCCAGAAUGCAGGAAGUAGCCAGGCUCAGAAGCUGGGCCGCUGUCAUGGGGAGGCCCCUCCCCCACGGAAAGAAGAGCAGCACACUGGUCCCCAGUUGUCCCCAGCAUCCCCUCCGGCAUGUGGCAUAAGCAUGGGCCAGUUCUCCUGAACUGCAGAGAUGGGGAGGUCAGAGAAGGCCAGAGCAGCGCAGCCUGCAGAACCCUGGCUGGGCCUAACAGUUGUGACAGGGCAGGUCUGGCCGAGGUGUGUCCUCUCAUGCAGCAGCCUUGGCCACCAAUGCCAGGACCAGGCUGAGACCCUGAGUGAAUAGACUCUGAAGUGACCUCACCUCAUGCAGUUCUGCCCAGCCCACUGCUCAUCUCUCGACGAUACCCAGCUGUGGUCAGGGGUCCCCUCACCAGUCUCCCUCACAGAGCCACUGGCAUGUGAACCGUGCUCUGGUUACACAUCUGCAGACCCGUGUGCCCACGUCUUCCCCUCAUCCAUCAGCUCUGUCACCUGGGUCCCCAGAUCCUACUAAAGAAUGAAGGGGUAGUGCGCGUGGAAGGGCACUCUCUGUGCACACUCCACCUCACCCCCAUGUGCAGAAGACAGCCCAUCCCUAGCCAGCCCCGAGGGUCUCCCUGAGGGGCCUCUACGUGCCUCCCUCCCAAGGAGUAGAGCCUGGCCAGGCCCCCAGUCUCCUCCAGUACCGUGGAAACUGAGCUGGGCCACUUCCAGGACUCCUCAGGAGGAGGUGGGGUGAAGACAGAGGAGGCAAGGGACUCCACCAAUCAACUCUGGCGCCAACGCACCCGAGGCACACCUGCUGCGCUGGGAGGGAAGGACGUGGCCACUGGCUUUACUGCUUUUGAACCUCUGUCUGCUUGAAAACAAAAUUCAUAAUAAAACUAUCAAUAAAAA